rnacentral:rRNA from 1 species
UACGUAGGGGGCAAGCGUUUGUCCGGAAUCAUUGGGCGUAAAGCGCGUGUAGGCGGCCCGGUAAGUCCGCUGUGAAAGUCGGGGGCUCAACCCUCGAAUGCCGGUGGAUACUGUCGGGCUAGAGUGCGGGAGAGGCGAGUGGAAUUCCUGGUGUAGCGGUGAAAUGCGCAGAUAUCAGGAGGAACACCGGUGGUGUAGACGGCUUUCUGGACCGUAACUGACGCUGAGACGCGAAAGCGUGGGGAGCGAACAGG